rnacentral:rRNA from 1 species
GACGAACGCUGGCGGCGUGCUUAACACAUGCAAGUCGAACGGAAAGGCCCCUUUGGGGGUACUCGAGUGGCGAACGGGUGAGUAACACGUGAGUAACCUGCCCUUGACUUCGGGAUAACUUCAGGAAACUGGGGCUAAUACCGGAUAGGAAUCCUUGCUGCAUGGUGGGGGUUGGAAAGCUUCGGCGGUUUUGGAUGGACUCGCGGCUUAUCAGCUUGUUGGUGGGGUAGUGGCUUACCAAGGCUUUGACGGGUAGCCGGCCUGAGAGGGCGACCGGCCACAUUGGGACUGAGAGACGGCCCAGACUCCUACGGGAGGCAGCAGUGGAGAAUAUUGCACAAUGGGCGGAAGCCUGAGGCAGCGACGCCGCGGGCGGGAUGACGGCCUGCGGGUUGUAAACCGCUUUCAGCAGGGGCGAAGCUUGUGGUGACGGUACCUGCAGAAGAAGCACCGGCUAACUACGUG